CCUAAUCUGGGUAUUAAAAGUGUAUUCAGAAUACAUUAUAAAUAUUUUUGAUUUGUGAAAUAAAAAGUGAGAUCUUUUUGUCUACGAAAUCAGUAACUGAAUAUAUUAGUGUUGGUUUAGCUUUUGCAUUUGGAUAAGGGAUAUAUAGCCUUUUAUGCAAUGAGGAUGUUACUGUACAUUUCUAAUCAAUCACAGUAACGCUUAGCAAGGCAUGAAAAUAGUAUCAUGUUGUAAUUAAGUAGUCAAAAUCCCUCUAUUGAGGAGAAAUGAUUAGCUUUUAUUUUCCACAAGACUGCCUUUUUAAAUAUAUCAAUGAAAAUGAUUUUUGGGUUCCCUAUAGUAUGUAUAUACAUGAUGCAAUUUAAAAAAUAAUAAUAAUAAUUUUACCUUUAUUUAACCAGGUAGGCCAAUUGAGCACAAGUUCUCAUUUACAACUGCCACCUGGCCAAGAUAAAGCAAAGCAGUGCGACAAAAACAACACAGUUACACAUAAACGUACAGUCAAUAACACAAUAGAAAAAUCUAUGUACAGUGUGUGCAAAUGUAGAAGAGUAGGGAGGUAAGGCAAUAAAUAGGCCAUAGAGGUGAAAUAAUUACAAGUACAAUUUAUCAUUAACACUGGAGUGAUAGAUGUGCAGAUGAUGAUGUGCAAGUAGAGAUACUGGGGUGCAAAAGAGCAAGAGGGUAAGUAAUAAUAUGGGGAUGAGAUAGUUGGGUGUGCUAUUUACAGAUUGGCUGUGUACAGGUACAGUGAUCGGUAAGCUGCGCUGACAGCUGAUGUUUAAAGUUAGAAAGGGAGAUCAGCUUCAGUGAUUUUUGCAAUUCGUUCCAGUCAUUGGCAUUAGAGAACUGGAAGGAAAGGCAGCCAAAGGAAGUGUUGACUUUGGGGAUGACCAGUGAAAUAUACCUGCUGAAGCACGUGCUAGGGGUGGGUACUGCUAUGGUGACCAGUGAGCUGAGAUAAGGUGGGCUUUACAAAGACUUAUAGAUGACCUGGUGCCAGUGGGUUUGGCGACGAAUAUGUAGUGGCCAGCCAACGAGAGCAUACAGGUCGCAGUGGUGGGUAGUAUAUGGGGCUUUGGUGACAAAAUGGAUGGCAAUGCAAAUGGUUGACAUAGAAAAAAACAAGUAAGCCUGGAAGGGGGGAUGAGUAAAUAAUAUGCAUAUCUCUACCUAAAUACUCGGCAUUAUCCAGUUUAGGAUGAAACAAAAACAAAAACUGAACACGUACAAUACUUAGUAGCAAGCAUUCCAAUUGACAUGUUUUUUUAUCAUGCAAACCUAGCACUGUACCCUGAGAAUGUAGAUUUCUACAGCUAGUUGGCUUUGAGUGUCAACUUUUUAUUUUAUAUUCUUUGUACUAUUGCACACUAAUCAGUGUAAGUACUGGAUGAUAUAUAACACUUAUGUAUGGAUGUUAAAUGUGACGGACGCUGCUCAAACAUGUCGAGAUUUACUUUCUACCACCUCUUUUCAACUGUCUCCCAUUUAAAUUUGGCAUCAUUUGUUCACUUCACUGACAUUUUAAAAAUAUUGGCGAGAAACCAUGUUCUGUGAAGACAUUCAUUCCAUUCCUGUUACUUUUUUGUCC
rnacentral:lncRNA from 1 species